rnacentral:lncRNA from 1 species
CAAGGGGGGAAGGGGCGGAGGGGUUACGAGGCCUGGCGGGUCAAGACUCGGGAGGCAAGCCGGCAGCCUCGUGCGCAUCCAUUGGAAGGUGGGACGCCACCGUGUCACCAACUACUGCGCGGACCCCCACCACGCUUCGUAGGCUGGCUUUGAGUUCUGGGCUUUAGUUGAUUCGGGCCUGGCAUUGACAAAGCGCCCAUCCCCACCUUGGCACGCUCCUCCUGGGGGAUGUCUGAGUACAGCAGGGACAGGUGCGGCAUGUAGGGGCCUGUGGUGAUGCCGAACACCUCGCGGGCGGUGGCGGCAGCGGCCAUGGCUCCCUCGUCCUUGGCCACGCUCAGGUACACGCACUGGUAGUAGAUGGAGCCCCGAGUCACGUCCGUGAAGUUAAUGCGGUACUUCUGUGGGUGUCGGGCAGGGUAGGGCACAUGAAGGGUCCUUAGGAGUGUUGCGGAAGUCAGCAGACACUUCCCAGCCCGAACCUGUGGCGUGUCUGCACGCCGAUGCCCCCGACCUGCAUCCGCUGCACAGCCUUACAGUCCUUUGCCAGGCCCAUAGUCGCAUUCGUGCUUGGUCUGGUAGCCUUGCUGCUGCGCUCAUCAUCACCCACCCCACCCCACACAACCCAAUCCCUACCCUCUCCCACCCAUCCCCGCCCCACCCCCACUCCACGACCGCCCCCUCACCUUGACCUUCUUUGCCAGCUCCGCCGCUACCGCCAGCACCUCCUGCCGUCCGCCCGGCCGCUCGAUGUCGCCCAGCACAGUGGUGUGCGGCGGGAAGACGGGCGCGCCGUGCCGCGCCGCCAGGUGCGCGAUCUCCGCCUUGAGCUGCUCGCCCAGCCGCCCCUUGGGCUGGGCCCACAGCGAAUACUGGUCGCGUAGGGCCGGAGCGCCGCCAUCCUCGGGAGUCGACAUGCUGCCUGCGCGGUUAUGAGUGUGGGUCUGUGCACUUCAGGCAGGCAGGCAAUAGCACACGGGGCGGUGCCUAGGGCUGCUGCACAGCCGAAGGCCAGCGAGUCGGCAAGGUGGGCGGUACUAUGCAGUCAUGCCGACUCGCAGCAUGCUCACCCGACGCGCACACACGCAAGGGAUGUGCUAGCGAGGUGCCCUGGUGUCCCCGCAGACGGUGCUGGUCAGACCGCGCGCCUGCCUUAGCAGCUCCGUCUGCUACGGAUGUCACAAGAGCCUGAGGUCUCCGGAAACUGUCCCCAAGGUCAAAGGCAGCAGAUCACAUCACGGAUCAGGCACGUAUGCAUGGUGCUUCGUACGGGGACGUCCCAUGGCGGGCAGGUGCAUUGUGUGUGUGUGUGUGUGUGUGUGUGUGUGUGUGUGUGUGUGUGUGCGUGUGUGUGUGUGUGUGUGUGUGUGUGUGUGUGUGUGUGUGUGUGUGUGUGUGCGUGCGUGUGUGUGCUCCUGCGCCGGGCCCAACUGCUGGGCCCGGCUGGAUGUUCUGCACGUAUCUCCGGACCAUGCUGCCACCUGCUUGCUUGCAGCUCCCACAUAGAUGUGUGAGGCUUACGAUCUUAGACAUGCGCGGUCUAUGCCUGACUCACAGGCUAAGCCCUCGCUGGGAGGAGCUGCUACUGCUGCCGGCGCUGAACGCGUACAGGCCGCACCCAAGCAGCGCGAGCCCGCACAGCAGCAGCACGCAGGCGCUAGAACGCGCUGGAGACGGCAUUGUGCGAGGAGCCGGAGGUGGGGAAGACGGGGGUGGCGCCGAGGGAGGCGAUUGGGAUGGGACGAGUUCUUCAGGUGGCGGGGUGGGGCGUCGGACACGCAUACUACGGGAGGUGGUGGUGACGGAGGUGGUGGCAGCUGCAGGGCGAUGAGCGCAUGGCACGGGCGAGGACCGGACUCAUGAGAACGGACCUAUUGCCAAGCUCCAAAGGCCCAACCUGCUGGGACGACGCGCACCCCAGAUGGCCCUGGCAAAACGCUUACCUGCCGACUGCUCGCGCACGCACUAAACCCUGAAGAACCGGGCUUGCACUUGGCGCUAAACAGCGAGCUGGAGAUAAGUGCGCCAGCGGAACACGAGCGAAGGUUCACCAAGAAUGUGCCGCGAAAAAGUACCCAACCAGAGAGGUAUCUGCUCCAAGACACUUGAGAUAAUGAAAUGUGUGAAAAUAACAAGGCAAAUUAUCAUGUGCACAUGAUGAGUACGCGCGCGUGCGCCUUGCCACUGCCCCUGGCCCGCUGCAUGGGCUGCAUCCGUUAAGGGUUCCUUGGCAUCCGUUCCAGAGGGAUGCAGACCAGGCUCGCGGAACAAAUCCAGCGACAGGGGCCUGGGCACACAUCCUGAGCCGCGAGCUAUCCCUCGGCGGUCCGGCUGCCAUAGGUUAUAGCUGCCGUGGGGGCAGGGUCGCAAUCCCGGCCGGGCGACAUCCGCAUCCUGGCGGGGCGACAUCCACAUCCUGCCGGGGCGACAUCCACAUCCUGGCCGGGUGGCAGCCACAUCCUGGCCGGGCGGCGUACUUGAAUCCUUCAAUCCCACAACGUCUGGUCGAUUGCAGUAGUUAACACCCGCAUACUGUCAAAGUACUGCUGAUUUAUUGAACCAUUCUUGUGCCCACAACCUGCCCGCACCGCCCAACCGAUCCCCGAUAAGAACUGUCACUCGUUGUUGUCUCAUGACAUCAUACGUGGAACCCAUCACGGGAUCAUUGGAUCACGCACGCACGGGUGGCCCGGCGGGUGUAGACUCGUUUUGGGGGGCGUGGGGUUCUGUGGGGUUAGGACCAUGUGGCGUCGUGCAUGCCAAACUGACCCGGCUACGGACACAGAGCCGCCCAUUCGUAUUAAGUUCAUCGCCCAAGCUAUGGACCUAGACAGGGCUGGGGCUGCAAAGGCCUGAAGGCUGAAGCCAUUUGGAGGACCUACUUCUGCUGGGACAAAUGGCCAGAAAUGGCUUGCAUGCGUAUUGAAACAGACUAUACAUAGCAUGCAGUUUGCGCGAUCGUUCCCGGGCGACGGGGUUGGGCUAGGGCAGGGCCAGGAGCCAAUGGCUCCUUCACGCGAAAACACCUCCACACCGCCAGGGUGACACAAAAAGCUUUAUAGGAACGGCUAAUGUAUCCGUUUAGCUGAAGGCUUGUAACUAUGUUGGAGUCCAGCCAGUACAUGGUGAAACGGGCCUGAACGGGCUCAACCGGGACUUACGGGACUAUCUAGGCUUCGGACUCGGCUUCGUGGUUGUAGAAGAUGAUCAAGUGAUCGAAAGACGGAGUGGUGGCCACGCAAACGGUCCGCAUGAACCAUUCGCCCGCCACGCACGAUCCGCAGGUCAAGUCCGCAGAACCCCGGGCUAAUCGCCCGUGGGCUUUGUACGCGGGUGGUCUUGCGCCACGAUGCCGGAGUUGGGUGCCGGAGUCACAUCAAGGUCGCAAGAUCGAAACCCAUCAGGAACGGUUCGGCUCCGUUACCUGUGUAGGCACUGAACAUACUUGUGCCGAACAUCCCCGAACGAGCGCCAUCUCGGCCUUCCUAGGUCGCUGCUCUACGGGUGAGGACGCUGGUGCGGCGGGUUCUGAUGGUUUCCCCGCGAGAGCUAUCCUGCUUUAUAGAAGCCGGUCUGCGAGCCAGUUGGCGCUGAUGCGCCGGGGCAGGAGGAGGCCCCUGAUUAGGGAAUGCGCGUCACCCAGCGCCGAUCUGCGAGCCCGUGUUUCGAGGCGUUACCGUGGCCCAGUAUGGCCGAUGGUUGCAGACAACCCCCCUCCCCCACAUACCUAAUCGCGGCCGGGCCCAAUCGCCAGCAAUUCUGACUUGAAACUAUUCCUGUGACUCAAGUAAACAUUAGAAUUGCUUGGCCUGACCAAAUGGACGAGGCCGACUGGCGUCAAGUGGGGGUCGGCAUCCUAUGGGGAGCGACGCGACCGGAACUCGACCCAGACCAAACCGCGAAUGCAGUGACUUAAAGUACAAUAUGUUAAGGUAUAAAUGCUGGCAGCAGCCCGAGUCUGUGCGUUUGUGGCCAAGUUGAUAAAAGUUAAGAAAGAGCCAAAGAAAACACACGAGGAGUAGGUAGAUGUCUUCUAUAGUGUAAUAAACACUUGUCUUGCAUGGCGAACCCAGGAACGGAGACGACGGGGAAGCGUGUGCGAGGGCGCAGGGUCCCUGGGUCAGCGGCAGCUUUGGCGGGAAUCGGCUGGAUCCAACACCUCCCGACCGCCCCCCGCAAACCGUAUGGCCCGGACACGCCGAAUGUAUGGUAGACUUUAGCAGUGAUAACCAACGUAUGUGUGCGUAUGCGCGCGUGAAAGGAAUAGGACUUCUGACGUCUGGCGGUGUGCCGCCUGUGGGCUAUGGGCCGCGUAACGAAGCAGAAAGCUAGGCUGCGGCAGCAUGCCAAGCGAGUCAGGCCAAACAGCUACAGAAGGGUUUGUCAGCUGGCCCAGGCGAGGCGCGAGGGGCGCGCGGAAGCAGCUGUCGCUGCCGCGGCCGCAGCAGCUGUGGCGGCAUCAGCGGACUUGCUGGAGCCUGCUGGCUGCCCACCGCGCUGCAUGCUCUGGCUGCUAGUGUUGCUAAUGAAUUAAGGGCUAGUCGGGGUGUGUUAUUAGCGAGUGUGCACUUGGGAAUCUGUGAACCUCCGGGAUGAUGGGCGCGAGACUUCGACCUAACGAGUGCCGAGGAGUUGAAAGAUGUGUUUGUUCAUCGAAAAAUGCUACGCAGCUCACAGCGGGAGGAAUUUCGAGUGUUUCAGUGACGGAUUGAGGCAACAUGCAGACUCGGGCUGUGCGCAACGGGCUUAUAGCUUAAACGUAUAACAUUGCACUAAAUGUACUCGUUGCAAGUUUCAGAACUUAGAAAGGUGCAGCGACGCGAUUGAUCGGUCCUGCCCAUGGACCUCUGCGGACUUGACCGCAGGUGUGCAGUGACCCCCACGAGUGGCAUCCCUAAUGCGUCUGGGUGCCAUCUUAAGUGCGUGCGGGCGCAAUCCUUAGUCCAUCCGGGCGACAUCCUACUGCCGUCCCUGCCCCCCGGGGCGACAUCCUACUGCCGCCCCUGCCCCCCGGGGCGACAUCCUACUGCCGUCCCUGCCCCCUGGGGCGAUAUCCUACUGCCCCCCCUGCCCCCUGGGGCGACAUCCUACUGCCCCCCCUGCACCCAGGCGAGCCCAAAUUAGUAGCUCCGGAUCACAUCGCGUGCCCAGCUGCUGGGCGGUAGCGACAUACUCUGCAUCCCUCCGUCCGUUCCUCCCGCCUGCUCCCGCUGCCGUGCCCUACGCCGCGACAUGCAAUUCGUGGACUUCUCGUGGACUUCUCGUGGACGAUUAGUUACAUGUAAGCAUUACAGAUUGGGUACUUCUAGCUUAGCUUAUCGUGCCCAGGUAAACACCGGCGCGCGUGGAUGCCGCGAGGCGCAAACACACGGUGCGCCUGAAGCCGCCCAGGACAGGCUGCUGCCUCCCCCUGCUCGCGCCCUACUAUACUUCCAGCAUCUAAGCGGAUCCAGUGGUGCACCCAGCGGAACCGGACUACCGUCUACCGGAGUACUUCCAGACGCGCUCCUUCAGCAAGGCCCGAAUGCACCCCUGCCCGAAUGGGCGUAGGUUGCUGGCAAAAUUUGGAUAUAAGGGUAGUGGGAAAAAGAGGGGGAAGGGGAAAGGGUACGCGCGCGCGGAGCGCAGGGGGAAAACACAAUUACCUUCUAACAUACGUGGGCUCAACGCACUCGUCAGCUGCGUUUCCCGCGGCAGAGCUUCUAGUCGUCAGCUCACACCGAGGCACAACGCGCACGCGUUCCUGCGCAAGCCCUGACUUGGGCCAUAGUAUGCCGUUUACAUCAAGCUGUAAGCUGGGACGACGCUGGGCCAAGGGCGUAACAGGGCGUAACACCCGUAACUGCGUCGCUGCUGUCGGAUGGCUGGCGCCUUGCAAGCACCGUAUAGUAGUAGCAUUAUUGUAGACAAGAAAGGUGACUCUCCCUUGCAAGGGAAAAGUGGGCUGCGCCCACGCCACGUUUGUGCAAUGUCUGAGGUCGAAGGUUUGAAAUCCCGGACAUAGCCGAGGUCGAGCUUGCACAGCCACCGCCCGCCAUGUGCCCAGCCGCGUCCCGCUGUCAAGCACAAGCAGAGCAGGCAACAAACCAUACAGCACCACACAUGCACCGUGCCACGCUAUGCUCGCCAGCUAACACCGCAAACCAGACACCUGACACCAUGCCGCAUUUGCCGCGUGCUAACUUGCACAGGAAACGGCAACAAACAAAAGCCACUUCGCAAGUAACGCCGUCUUGCUCACGCUAUGUACAGACAAGAUAUGUGGUUCCCCUCGCAUGGCAAAAGUGGGCUGAGCCCACGCCACGUCUCUAGUCUGAGGCCGCAGGCGUCUGCCUCAUCUCCCGGACAUAGCCGGGUCGGUUCGUACAGGCACGGCCCGCCAUGCGUCCAGCCACGUCCCGCUGUCAAGCACAGCCAGCAAUCAACCAAACAGCAGGACAUCCUCUAGCCACAACAUUCCUCACUGCUGCGGCCUACCACAUACUGUGUGGUGCUAUUUUCGCCAGCAAAGACCCGAACUAGACACCGGCCGGCCUCAACCUGCGCGCCGGCGCCGCUUCUUGGGCGGCGCCGCGCUCACCUACCUCCUCCACGUGGCGUUGCUCGCCCCCUCCGCUACGUACACCCACGCCGCAACUGCUGGGCCCAGGGCCGCUGCCGCCAGGCCCUGUGCUGCUGCUGCUCCUGCUGCUGCCGCCGCUGCUGCUGCUGCUGCUGCUGGUGGUGGGGCCAGGCCCUCCACCACCACCAUCGCCGCCGCCCCCACCGCGGCGCAGGGCCGCAGGCCGCGCUCUACCAAGCAGCAUCUCCAUCAUCGCGCAUGUUCGUGGCAGAGUUGGCGUCGCGUGUACCCGAAACACCAGCCCACAAACUGCAGCCGCAGCCAUCCUGCUCCUACCUCCACAAUCAACUGCGGCGGUCCCACACCCCUUGCAUGAAUUAGUUUACCCCAUCCAAACCCAGUGCAUGCUACCUCCUUACCUUCGUGGCCCCAUCCUGUGACUCUGCACCAGCGCCAUGCAUGAUCAGUGCUCAGCGCUCAAUGUUCAGUUGUCCAGCGCGCUCAGUCCGCCAGCGGGAACUCCGCCAGCUGGCACCACCCCGCCAGCGACUUGUCCUCCUCGGGCACGUACCACACAGCUAGGCUGUCCACCUGCGGCACAGGUGUCAGGAGGGGGCACGUCAAUCCCAAUCCAACAUCAACCAAUGCCCGAGAGGAGCGAGUAAAUAUGCCGACACUUGACAGGGUCAGGGCAGCCCAGGCCCAACCGCCUGCCUAGCCAGCGCUUGCCCGCGCUCGCCAAGUCGCGCCAAAGAGCAGUGGCGCUGCCUUGCUACGCCCUGUCCCUCACAGACCAGGUGGCACCCACACCCGCCCCCCUUCCCCCGGCCACUCACAUCGAAGCCGGUCUCCAGCAGCCGGGUGGCGGGGUUGUCGUAGAGCCGCUCCUUCUCGUGCUCCACAAUCUGCAGGGGCACAUGAGCAAGCACAAGACGUGGCCAGGAGUGGCUUGCUGGCUGGGUACGACACGUGUGGUAGCGGCGGCGCAAACCGGUGCGAGGGUCGUCUGUUGUUAUACUACGGUACGGCAUGCUCUUGCUGCGGUGAGCCGGUGACAAUUGACAGCCGCGCAACUCUGCUGGUGCCCAUGAAUCCAAGUACCGUAAACGGCGCAUCUUGAAACGCACCACUCACGCAAGCCUGCACGCUGCGCCCACCUUGGCACGCUCCUCCUGGGGGAUGUCUGAAUACAGCAGGGACAGGUGCGGCAUGUAGGGGCCUGUGGUGAUGCCGAAUGCCUUCCGCGCCGCCGCACCCGCCGCCAGCACUCCCUCCGUCUUGUCCACCAACAGGUACACGCACUGGUAGUAGAUGGAGCCGCAAGCGACUUCCGUGAAGUUAAUGCGGUACUUCUGCGCCAGGUGGAAGUUCAUAAGGUUCUGAGCGCAUAGGUGCAUUCCGGUCCGAAGUCGCACACUACCGUAUUGCAGGACAGGCCCCCUGCCGUGAAUCCGUGCUCAAAACCCGACUUGAGCGCUGCACGCCGUCACAGCAGCCCGAUGCACCAGCAUAACUUGUACUGCAUCAGUCACUAACCUCAUCC